UACGGAGGGUGCGAGCGUUACCCGGAUUUACUGGGCGUAAAGGGCGUGUAGGCGGUUUUCUAAGUCCGGGGCUAAAGACCAGGGCUCAACCCUGGGUUUGCCUUGGAUACUGGAAAGCUCGACGGCGGGAGGGGGCAGCGGAAUUUCCGGAGUAGCGGUGAAAUGCGCAGAUACCGGAAGGAACGCCAAUAGCGAAGGCGGCUGCCUGGGCAGUACGUGACGCUGAGGCGCGACAGCGUGGGGAGCAAACCGG
rnacentral:rRNA from 1 species